rnacentral:rRNA from 1 species
UAAGGAAUAUUGCUCAAUGGGAGAAAUCCUGAAGCAGCAACGCCGCGUGGAGGAUGAAGGGUCUAUGACUUGUAAACUCCUGUAAAGAAGGAAAAAAUUCCCAUUUGAUGGGAGAUGAUGGUACUUCUGGAGUAAGCCCCGGCUAACUACGUGCCAGCAGCCGUGGUAAUACGUAGGGGGCAAGCGUUGUCCGGAUUUACUGGGUGUAAAGGGUGCUCAGGCGGAUUUGUAAGUCAGAGGUGAAAUCUUACAGCUUAACUGUGAAACUGCCUUUGAUACUGCAAGCCUAGAGUAUGGAAGAGAGUGAUGGAAUAUCUGGUGUAGCAGUGAAAUGCGUAGAUAUCAGAUAGAACACCAAUGGCGAAGGCAGUCACUUGGUCCAUUACUGACGCUAAAGCACGAAAGCGUGGGUAGCAAACA